GGAGAAUUGGCAGAGUGGUCGAUUGCGGUAGUCUUGAAAACUAUUGUACCGAGAGGUACCGGGGGUUCGAAUCCCUCAUUCUCCG
rnacentral:tRNA from 1 species